CCCUUUUAUCAGCAUCCGAUUUUUCAACAUUUUCAACAGCAGUAGGAGUAACAUCAUUAACAGAAAUAACAACAGGAACAUCCAUAUAUAACACAUAUUCCAAAUUCAUGGUCUCCAAAUAAAACAAUAUAUCUUCAGACCAUCUCUUAAAAUUAGAGCCAUCAAAACGUUCAAUUUUAGACAAGUCUAAGGCAGAUUUCAUCAUCUUGUUAAUAACUGAAAAUCAUUUCU
rnacentral:lncRNA from 1 species